AAAGUGCAACAUCUUCAUCGGUGAUUAUCCGAGGCAGCUAGGUUAUGAUGUAUGUUGUGUUUACAUGUUGAAUGUGUAGAUUUGCGUGGUGCAAAUAAUAAGUUAAUCUUGUUUGCAUACGUGUUGUCAAGUGUAUUAACAUUUACUUUUGACCGCGUGUUAAGUGUACCUCGAAGGUGUUUUGUUUGACAAUGUGCACUGUGGGUGAUGAAGAUGUGGGAGAGAAUUCUUACAUGCAGCCGAAGAACAAAUCACCUGUCAGUAACAUCUGUAGAAAAUGUAAUGAAAAUCGUGCAGAAGUAGUUCUUCGAAAGAAACAUCCCUAUUGCAGACUCUGUUUUGUGCAAGCAGCAACUCAUAAAUUCAGAGCAACUCUUGGGAAAUCAAAGAUCAUUAGAGCAGGUGAUAAUGUAAUGAUAGCUUUUUCUGGCAGUGAAGCUUCAGCUGCACUUGUUCAUUUGGUGUCAGUUGGCUUAAAUGAAGGAAAUCACAAACGACUCUGUUUUAAUCCCAUUAUUUUGUAUGUCGAUGAGGGCUGCAUAUUAGGUCUGUCACGGGAUGAACGAAAAAAUAUAUCUGAUGCUAUUAACAGAAGUUUGGAAACAUAUAGGUUACCUACAUAUAUGACUUCUUUGGAAGCAUUUUUUAAUACUCAAGAACUGAAUUGCUGUAAAGUUGGCACAGAAAUGUCACUUUCUGUUGAGAAUGAAGAAAGACUCCAUAAGUUGUUCAAUCAAGUAAAAAGUUUAACUUCAAAAGAAGAGCUUUUGAAAAUUUUAAGAUUUAAGAUACUCCGUAGAGCAGCAAAGUCUUUGAACUGCUCAAAAAUAUUCGUUGCAGAUACUGCAACAGGAUUAGCCACAACUUUAUUGACCAACGUGUCGUUGGGGAGAGGUGUUCAUUUACCUCUUGAUGUUGGAUUUUGCGAUGAUACUGAUAACAAUCUGUUAAUACUUCGCCCCAUGCGUGAUUUCAUGAAGAAGGAAAUUAUCUUUUACAAUGUUUUCAACAAAGUCAGUGGAGUUCACAUACCAUCAAUUGUUACAAAGGUUAGCUCCAACCAGAGCAUUCAGAAGCUAACUGAAAAAUUUGUAAUGGAGCUUCAGCAGGACUACCCAUCUACUGCAUCUGUAGUGUUCCGUACUGGAGAAAAGCUUAGUAUGCCAAGGGACAUCAAGCUUUCAAAUGAGACUUGUUCCCUCUGUGAGGCACCACUAGAUGACAGAAAUAUGAAAUCAUCUUCUCUUCAAGCUACUGAAUUUUCACGUCUAGCUUCCCAUCUAGGACCUUCUGGAUUCAGUGCUGACAGCAUUAUGAGUGACUCUUAUUCAGCGAAAAACAAUUUCCCAAGUGAAAUAAAAGAAGAAUGUCAGUCAGAAAGUGCCGAUAAAGUGGACUGCAGUUCAUUCACAGAUGGUUGUGAUUGUGAGCAUAAGUGUAGUCCUGACAUGAAAAUAUGUAUUUCUGAUGCUGAAAAAUGCUUUUGCUAUAGCUGUCGAAUUAUUUUGAAAGAACUAGUCAAAUUUUGUGUCCACGUACUGCUUGUGACUUACCUAUACAACUGUAUUAAUCAAAGUUGAAUCCCAGAACAACACCCACAUCGACGCCCAUGGGGGGAUUCUAACCCCCAGCCAGAACAGCCCAGCCGUCCACAGCACGACUAUCCUGCCCGGCUUAUCUGGGAACUGCCCGCUGGGAUUUCUUGACUUCCGUGGCCUCGACCAGUGGCGAGCGCUGCGCUAAGCCCGCACCGUGCUUGCUGCCUGCCGUGCCUUCCUUAUUGUCAGUGUCUCAUCUCGGGCUGAAUAGCUUAUAUGAACAUUUCCUUAUACUGAUGUCGACUGUUUCAUUUCUGUCAUCUGCUUACCAUGAAACGAGCUUCAAAGAUAACAUCUUUUCUCUCUAAAAACAGAAGACAGCAGACGACGAGGACCAACUGAGAGGCAGACCUGCUGUUCUCAAACCCAGGAAGCAAGAGUCGUGAGCUCGCAGUCCAGACUUCAAGGCCGAUGCAUCGCCAUGUUCCGAGUGAUCCUGUUCCAGACACCGCUAUAAUCUGCGUAAACGUGUGUAGUGUGUGAGAAUGCAAUGCGUGUGUUUAUUUCAACCAUGUGCUUAUGUGAAUGUGUUGUGAAAAUUUAGUAUUGAAACUAUUGUAUGAGUGCACAAGUGAAACUAAACCUUUUAUUCCACAGGUUACCAAAAGAAACUCAUUUAUUUUAUGUUCAUUGUUAACUCUAGUAUUUAGAACUAAUUAACCAUGUUCAUUUUUAUUCUAAUGUUUGCUAUGAUAGCAUAUUCUACUAAUGCUGUAGUAACAGUACCACAGAGAACAGAUGUUUUGUUUGAACCAUGAUCAGACAUAGUAGUUUCAAUGAGUAAUGCAAAACUUGACCUCAAGUACAAUCUGAGUGAAAUCCAGCAGGAGCAGUUCAAUUCUGUAAAGAAGCAAAUUGAUCUAAUUCUUCAGGCUUUCCUGGCGAUCUAAUGACAUCUUGGGUUGUCGGGUGUUCUGCCGGAUAUCAGCGUCGUACUUGCAUGAUAUUUCGGUAGCAUAACUCGUUACCUUCAACGAGUUACGAUACCGAAAUAUUGUGCAAGUACGACGCUGAUAUCUGGCAGAACAGCCGACAACCCAAGAUGUCAAAUUGAUCUAAUUCGUUCUGUUAAGAGUAAUGAUACAAUUUUGGAAACGGGCACAUCUUGGUAUAAUAACUGGAUCACAGACAAAAUGCAUGUAGAGUCUACAUUUGCUAAUUGUGAACAAGAGAUUUACUGUUUUUUAAAGCUUUUGUCACACAAAACUUUAAUUAGGCGUAAACGUGCCUUGUUUGAUUUUGGAGGGCGUAUCCUUGAUACUGUAUUUGGUACUUUAACUAGUCAAAAGAUCUACUGAAAGUUAAAGGCAAAAUAUUAGCUCUUGAACAACAGUCCAGUACAGAUUCAACUAACCUCUCUAAUGAAAUUAUCGUAUUAAAGAAUAUGCAAAGAACCAUUACUAACCACACAGUUUUCAUUGAACAGAUUUAAAGCAAUUUAUCUCACAUUUCCAUGUAAUUCGUAAUGAAACGAACACAAAUAUCCAAGAACUAGUCCAAAGAUUAAAUUCUGUGAGUGCACACUUAGAUUUAAAAACUUUUUUUGUUAAGGAUUACUGAUAGUUUAUCAAAUGCUAGAAUUGAUGCCCUUAAUGUUAGAACAGCCUUAGAAAGUAGUUCAAAUGAUCAUUUGAGCAGCGUACUACUACAUCCAGAACAAUUUUUACAGAUUCUACUAUCAAUUGAGUGAAAGCUAGAUCAAACCUAUACUAUGAUUUACCCUGUCAACUCUUACAAUUUAUGUGAUUACUAUAAGUUAACACCACACACUCUUUAAUGAUUGAAGAUGAAUUAACUGUUAUUGUUUCUAUACCCAUUGCUAGAUCAAAGCAUAAUUCUGAAAUGUAUAAGAUUUAUAUUUACCCUGUGAAAUGGAGACAGGCAAGUAUUCAUGUAAAAUACAUACUGAAUGAUUAUCUACUGAUCAGCAAGGAUCGAAGAUAUUUUGUGUCCCUAAAUGAAAAUGAUUUGCAUAUGUGUAAAUGUAGUCAUAAGUUAAUUUGCCCUGACUCGACAGUAUUCUUAGAUAGUAGAAUGUACAGAUGUAAGAAAGAAUUGUUUAUGAGUCAUCCCCCAAGAGAUGAUUGCCCUUGAAUUUUAACGCAAGUUUAUCACCCAUUUCUUAAACAGUGUUCUGAAGGUAUAAUUUUCUCAUUUAACUCCACUCUUGAUUUCACAUUUAAAUGUAAAAAUUACCCCUUACAUUCAAACUGAAUACUAGUGGAUUAAUCUUGACUGCCACACAUUGUGAUUUAUCAUGUGAACUAUUUGAUAUGCCUAGUGUAUUGCCAACUACAUUUCAUGCAACUGGACAUUUGCCAUUAAUGAGAAUGUUAUCUGUUUAUUACAAUGAUUCAUACAUAUUAACAUAUGGAAAACACUCCUUAUCAAGUUUUUGUGAAGACAAUAAUUUAAUUAAGGACAUCCAUGAAAAUUUGAUUUCUUCCAAUUAUGAGUUAAACUUCAUUGAAGCAGCAAAUAGAAUUAAGUCCUUUGACUCAUCCAGUAAUGUUAAUUCAUACUUGAUUGUCAGUAUUGUGUUUUUAUUGCUUUUAUUAAUUUGUCUUUUGUCAACAGUAUUUGUCAUGUACGAAAUUGUCAUCCUGAAAGCACACUUCUCUGUACCGAAUGUUACUGUGUGUGCAAAUGAAAUACAUGUUGCAAUGCCUUCUGAUGCCACAAAUGGCGAAAUAGAUUUAUAACGCCCAGGAGGUCAUUUUGAGCCACCUAUGGUUGCUCUUUUUCUCCGGGGAGAGUGAUGCAAGUGUCUACGGGUUGCACGCAGCCAUACGGCAUGUAACACACGCUCGGCAGCUGACCUGUCUGGAAUGCUGACAAUUUGCUUGAUCAGUACACGUUCGUCUGGCCACAGUGUGAUGCAGGGAGUAAGCGUCUGGCUACUGUCCGCAGUGCGCGGGAUAACUAACGUGGCCUCGGGUGCGAAUAUGUCUCUUUUCCUCAGCUCACCAUGCAGCCUUUCGAUAUGAAUGUAAUUAACCGGUGUUAGGCUGUCAGAUACAGUGAUGAUGGAUGCAUGUAGCAUGUGUCUUUUAUAAUCAGCCUUUGUUAAUAAAACUGUUUAAUCUUA